AUGCCAGUGCCUGGACAAUGUUCUCUGCCCUCCAGGAGAGAAGGGAGAGGCCAAGAAGGCUCUGUCCAACUAGAGAACUGUGGGACCAGCAGAAAAGUUUCAAGCCUGGGUCACCAGGAGACUCAAAGAGCUGCUGCCGCACGCCCCCCACCCAGGGAGUCUCCCAGUGGAGAACAGGAAGUGCCUGGUGCCUCAGUUCUUCCCUUCAGUGACCACACCACAGGCUCGUCAAUACCUCUGGACUCCGCAGGGGUGACUGGCAGGCUCUGGUUCACACCUGCUUCCGGUGAACCAGCGCUUCUUUCUUUCGGAACUGGAACUGAAGAUCCUCCCAGAUACACCUGACAGUCCAAGGAGCUGGAAUGCACAUCAAACAAAGCAGGCAGAAGCGGGCGUUUCAUCAAGCCAAACCAGCACCGCAAGCCUCCCACUGCCGCCGUGGGGAGUUUCCGAAGACCAGAGAAGCACGGGCCAGUUAGAGGCUGCCAAAUUCAAGACAGCCGGUUCCCUCGGAGGCUGCCAGCCACUCUUCCUGCCAACAAGACCUGGAAACGGCCUUACCACACAGCUCCUGGGUUCCCCUUACUUUUUCCACUGCGAAUGUAGCCUGAUUAGAGCGAGCGUGCAGAAGCACUAGAGGCGUACAUUCAGAAAACAUAUUUUGAACAAACUUUAUCUUUCUGAUCUUCAUUUUCUUGUUGUGAGAACGGGGAGGCAGACUAGAUCAGAGCUUCUCAUCCCUGGGUGCUCACAAAACCAUCCGGGAGCUUUAAAAAUGCAUACUUCUGGGCCCUUUACCGACCAAUUAAACCAGAACCUCUAAGUAUUUUUCAAAAACUCCCUAGAUGUUUCUAAUAGAUGCUGCUAGAUGCUGCCUGUGGUUAUUUCUACAUCAAACAUUUAUUUGUGAUCCUUCAUAUAAAGUGCAACCAAAUACUAAUGAGGCUGGCUUCCCACACUUCUCGUGAAAAGCUAUCUAAAUAUUAGGAUUUCUCUCUGUGUAGUCAUAAAGUCAAGGUCAGUCUUGUGGGCAGACAAAGACAGUGUGAUUUUAGGAACUUUUCUAAUCUUUAAACAUCUAGACUGCAAUGUUAAAAUCUAAAAUUAGGGGUGUAAAAUGCCAGUGAUUGGGGUCACGUGAGGAACCUAUUUGUGCAACUGAGAGUAGGUGUAGCACCAGGAAGGGGUGGAGUUCAUGGCACUAAAACUGUGUCCUCCCUAUGGGCAUUCCAACACACCUCCUGCCUGCCUCUCUCCUCUUCUGCCUUCUUUGCUUCCUUCUUUCCUAAACACCAGCUUGGCAGAAUGAAAAAAUUUAACCUGUUUCAAUUCACCUGUCUGUGAACUGUUUGAGACUCCAACCCAAGAUAUUUUGACGCCUUAGAAAAAAAUCUAACUGUUACAAAAGUUACCUAUCUCAUUAAUACAUUUUCAAAAAACAUCAUCUCGUCCACAUUGGACAAUAAAACUACAGGAUAGAAAUAAGAACUCUGAACAAACACUGCUGUAAACCUAUUCAUCUCCCUGUUCUUCACAGAUCCCCAUGGUGCUACAAAUUUGUCUCCAUUAUCUUAAACCAAGUGUCUGUUUAGAGUCUUUUGAUUUCUGUGUGCCAUUCUAAUUUUUCCCUUGGGUUCACUGUACCCCUUUCACAUACAGAAUUUUGAGCAGUAAACUCCUGUUUAUAGUGCAUCCUAUAUCCUAAAAGAGGAACCUCUUGAACCUUGCUUUUCCUAAAGUACUUUCUGCCUCAAGACUGUCCAGACUUGGCAUAAUUGACAUUUUGGGCUGCAUAAUUAUGUGAGGGGUGGAGAUGUUCCAUGCAUGGUAGGACUUUUCUCAACAUCUCUGAGCUGUGGCCACUAGAGGCCAAUUGCACCAUCUCUCCUGACGUGAUCAUCAACACUGUCUGCAGGCACUGCCAAGCGUCCCCAGGUGGGUGAAUCUCCCUCGAUGAGCCUUGUUGCUCUAACUGAAUAUGAUGCCUCGGUGCCCGUGAGGAAAAUGGUAGAGCAAGCUCUGUGGGCUUGGGAUGCAGCCAGCAUAAUAUCCCAGCUUCCAAAGGAAAAGCCCCAGCAGAAAAGGAAACAAGAUUCAGGAUGAUCAGCUGUGUCAGUUCCAU
rnacentral:lncRNA from 1 species